rnacentral:rRNA from 1 species
AUUGAACGCUGGCGGCAGGCCUAACACAUGCAAGUCGAGCGGAUGAAGGGAGCUUGCUCCUGGAUUCAGCGGCGGACGGGUGAGUAAUGCCUAGGAAUCUGCCUGGUAGUGGGGGAUAACGUCCGGAAACGGGCGCUAAUACCGCAUACGUCCUGAGGGAGAAAGUGGGGGAUCUUCGGACCUCACGCUAUCAGAUGAGCCUAGGUCGGAUUAGCUAGUUGGGGGGGUAAAGGCCUACCAAGGCGACGAUCCGUAACUGGUCUGAGAGGAUGAUCAGGCACACUGGAACUGAGACACGGUCCAGACUCCUACGGGAGGCAGCAGUGGGGAAUAGUGGACAAUGGGCGAAAGCCUGAUCCAGCCAUGCCGCGUGUGUGAAGAAGGUCUUCGGAUUGUAAAGCACGUUAAGUUGGGAGGAAGGGCAGUAAGUUAAUACCUGGCUGUUUUGACGUUACCAACAGAAUAAGCACCGGCUAACUUCGUG